AUCUUAAAAUUUUUUUUUAGAUCUUAAGUAUAAAGACAAUAAUGUAUUUAACCUAUAUGUGAAAAAUAUCAAAGCAACGAGUUAUGUGAAAGUAUGAAUGUUUUCACACUUUAAACCAUCAUUAAUGAAUUAAAAAAAUGAAUAUCUUGAAAGACAAGUUUGAAGCUUACGUGGUUUCAACCAUGGAAGACAACCAAAGAGUUUCUCUCCUUGAUAAUUUUGCUAUAUCUGUUGAAAAGGCUAUAGAAGAGGCAGAUUUAAAUUCUCAAAAAAAGCAAGGCAAAGUUGUAAAAGAUGGAAAAGUGUCCGAAGAUUUUUGUUAUUGCUUAUAUGCAAUUCUUGAUCACGAAUUAAAGGAGAAAUUCUCAUUUUGGAACAUAGCUGAGUUAUUGUCUCCUAAAGAAACUGUUCAAAUGAUUUACAGGUUGAACUUUAAGCAGAGUGAUAAAACAAGAAGUGAAGCUUGGAUCCAUCAUUCUCUAAAUGAAGGAAGCAUGGGAAGUUAUUUUAGUUUGUUAAUUGAAGAGGAAUCAGGUAUUUUAAAGAAAUUUUAUAAAUCUUCUGCAUUUGUGCGAGAUAAACCUAAAAUGGAGUCUGCUCAAAACUUACUUAAUUUUGCUAUUUCUUCGAUUCAAUUCAUCAUAAACAUUGAAAAAAUUUUGUGCAAAGAUGAUUUGUUGGCUUUAGAUACAUCUUUUGAUGUUACAAGAACAAAACAAGAUCAAAUUCGUCGUAAACCUCGUGGACAUGCACCGACUAUUAUUACAUUUACAGAACCAGAUUCAUUUACAGGACCAGAUUCACAUUCUGAUUCAAAUAUUGAUGCUAAUCAUAAAGAAAACAAUAUAGAUGAUAAACAACAUUCUACUUUUUAUUAUGAGACAAUAUGUUUGGAUGAAAAGUUAACUAACAUGACUUUUGAAACAAAAUCAAACGGCAUAGUAACUGAUAACACUAGUAAUUCAUUUGAUUUGCUAAUUAAUGAAGCACAUGACAACAGUUCUCAAGCUAUAUCAGAAAAACUCAAUCAAACUACUAAAAAAUUGAAUGAAAAAAGUAAUGAUGUAGAUUAUUGUACCGAUCAAAAUUCCAAAAUCACCAAAAAGGAUGAAAUAUCUGUUCUUGCUUUAUCAAAUAAAAAAUCAGGUGAAACCAUUAUAUCUGAGCUUACGCCAUAUCAGGUAAACCAGUGUAUUGUACCUACAUCUACUUUGAUACCAUCUGAAGGAUCCGCUUUCUGUCCAGUAACCAAACUGAAAAAAUCAAGUCUUGAUAUAAAUGAUUUUAGUUUACCAAGUGAAGGGUUUUGCACUGAAACAUGCAUUGAAAAUAGCUUACUAAGCAACUUUUUAAAACAAGAAGAUGUAUUAGAUUCAGAAAUAGGUUUUGAAAAUUCUAAUAGUAGUAUAAAUAUAGACAAUACUGUAACAACAAUCCAUUCUUCUCAUAUAAGAGCAAAUAGUUUAGAAUGUAAUAAGCCAUCUCUUGAAAAUUAUUAUGUUCCAGGAAUUCAUAUAAAUGAAAAUGAUAUUGGAAGUCCUAAUGAAAUCAAGUCAGAAAAGUUAUCAGAGGUGCCAUCAAUUGAAACAAAGUCAGAAAAAUUAUCUCGGGUAUCAUCUUGUUCUUCAAUUGAACCAUCAUCUAAAAAAACUUCAGAAAACUUUGUAUCUAGGUAUGCUAAAGCAAUAUCAAAAUCAAUUGAACAAAAAAGUUUAUUCACUGAUUCAGAAAGUGAUACAUGCAGUUGGAGUGAUAAAAGUUUUAGCAUACUUGCUGAGCUUGGUAUCAUUGAUAGUUUUAUUGGAUUAAAAGAAGACUACUUCACUCCCCCAGAGGAUUUUAUGGGCUUCUCUUCGCAAGAAGAACUUCAAAAUGCAAUCACUGAAUGCAAAGUGCUUAUAAAAAAUACUCCUGAGCAUUCUGAGAAAAGAAAGGUACUAGUGACUCAGUUAAUACAACUCAGAUUAAAGAAGCAAGAGCUAGAGGAACAAGCAAGCAUUGAGGUUUUACCACACACAAAAAAGGUACUUGGCCAUCAGUUACAAAAACAACCUCAUUUAUCCUUAAAAGUUGAGUGUGAUGUUUGCGCUUCCAUUAUUUGGUUACUGUUGCAGACAGCAUACAUUUGUAAUGAUUGUGGAUUUCACUGUCAUAAAACAUGUUUACGUAAUAUAGACAAGCCAUGUAUAAGUAAUCUAAAGCUUUCUGAAACAACAUACCAAAUGGAAAUAUGUCCUGAAAAAGGUCUUUCAUCUCAAAGAUAUCGAUGCGCUGAUUGUUUGCACCGAAUAGCUUUAAAAGAUGGUGUGUUCUUAUCUCGAAUCUGUGAUUAUACUGGUUUACAUUACUGUCAUAGAUGUCAUUGGAAUGAUCUUUUGCCCAUACCAGCUCGAAUUUUGCAUAACUGGGAUUUCACACCUAAACAAGUUUCUCGCAAGUCAAAGUUUAUAUUACUCAGUAUGUUGAGAAAAGCUGUUAUAAAAAUAGAAAAUGUGAACCCCUAUUUGAUUGAUUUUAUUGAGGAACUUCAAGAUGUUCAUACUUUGCGUCACAAAGUUCUCUUAAUGAAAGAAUAUAUUGCAACAUGUCGUAUUGUUUCAAAAUCGUCAACAUUUCAUGGACAACCCCCUGACAUAUUCAGUUCAAGAUUUGAUCGAUGUGGAAAACAAUAUUUUGCUAGAAGAGCUUACUAAAAAGUGUGCUACUCUUGCAAAACAUAUUAAAUUUGAUUGUCCUCUUUGUCAAGGUAAAGGCUUCGUUUGUGAAUAUUGUCGCGUUGAUGAAAUCAUUUAUCCUUUUGACAACCAUGUUACAGUGUGUUCAUGCAAAGGAACAUUUCAUCGGUUAUGCUACUCAAAGAACACUUGCCCAAGGUGUGCUCGAAUGGUAAAGAAAAAACAAGUUUCGAAUCAUUUUAGCGCAGUAACGUAGAGUUUGUUUUGACAAUCGUCUCAGUAUUUUUAUUUGUUACCUGAAAACCAAAAAACUUUAAUUUUUUUUAUACACUAAUUCUUACAUCAAAAGUCUACUGUUUACAUACGCGUUGCUUGGAUUCUCAGCAUGAGUUAAUGCCUAUCGAGCUCAUGUCACAUCACUCUU
rnacentral:misc_RNA from 1 species